rnacentral:rRNA from 1 species
GAUGAACGCUGGCGGCGUGCUUAACACACGCAAGUCGAACGAAGCACUUUAUUUGAUUUCCUUCGGGACUGAUUAUUUUGUGACUGAGUGGCGGACGGGUGAGUAACGCGUGGGUAACCUGCCUUGUACAGGGGGAUAACAGUUGGAAACGGCUGCUAAUACCGCAUAAGCGCACGGCAUCGCAUGAUGCAGUGUGAAAAACUCCGGUGGUAUAAGAUGGACCCGCGUUGGAUUAGCUAGUUGGUGAGGUAACGGCCCACCAAGGCGACGAUCCAUAGCCGACCUGAGAGGGUGACCGGCCACAUUGGGACUGAGACACGGCCCAAACUCCUACGGGAGGCAGCAGUGGGGAAUAUUGCACAAUGGGCGAAAGCCUGAUGCAGCGACGCCGCGUGAGCGAAGAAGUAUUUCGGUAUGUAAAGCUCUAUCAGCAGGGAAGAUAAUGACGGUACCUGACUAAGAAGCACCGGCUAAAUACGUGCCAGCAGCCGCGGUAAUACGUAUGGUGCAAGCGUUAUCCGGAUUUACUGGGUGUAAAGGGAGCGCAGGCGGUGCGGCAAGUCUGAUGUGAAAGCCCGGGGCUCAACCCCGGUACUGCAUUGGAAACUGUCGUACUAGAGUGUCGGAGGGGUAAGCGGAAUUCCUAGUGUAGCGGUGAAAUGCGUAGAUAUUAGGAGGAACACCAGUGGCGAAGGCGGCUUACUGGACGAUAACUGACGCUGAGGCUCGAAAGCGUGGGGAGCAAACAGGAUUAGAUACCCUGGUAGUCCACGCCGUAAACGAUG